GCGGCUGCGCAUCUCGCGCCGGCCGCGGGUCGCCUGGGGGGCGACGGGCCGCGCCGCGCAGCGUCUCCGGGAGGGAGGCGGCCGCCGAGAGGAACAGCAAAUGACAGAGCAGAGGGACGGCUGGCCCAGCCAAUCCUGGAGCUGCUGCAGCACUUGUUCCCCAAACAAGCACAGUCUGGUAGGAGGACAGAGAGGAGGGGGCUGCUGGCCCACACCCCUCCCCUGCCCCGACCCCCAGCACCCCCUUGUGGGGAGGGCAGCCAGGCUGUCUCAGGCCCGUUGGACGGAGGCUGCUGCGGGCCAGGGUGGCCAUGGUGCUGCGGCCCCUCCCUGCUGCCCAGCUUGGGAAGAAGAAUGCAGAGCCAGGCAAGUCUCUCUCCGUGUCCUCUGGGGUGGAAGGAGCAGGUAUAGACAGGGCCGGGGCUGCUUUGGCAUGGGUGGCAAGAGGGCUGUACCUCCAGCCCCUUGGGUUUGGCCUGUCCCUGGCACUCAACAACUGCUCCCGUGUGCUUAUUGGUGCUACCAUGUUAUGUAACGCUUAUAUAAUCUCCCAGGGAGAGCACUGUGUCUCCACUCUCGGGUCACGCAGACACCGUGUCCGUGUAGGAGGUAGGAUCUGUGGAAGCUUGUGGGUGGACCCACUCCCCCAUCCCCAGCCUGGCUCCUUCUCCUGAUCCCAGGCAGAGGAGAGGAGCUGGGAGAACAGGGGCCCGCUCCACCCCGGCUGUCCGGGGGUGAGAAAGAGGGGUUGGCCGUGCAGCCUUCAUCACCUUCCUGCUCUCCUAGUCCCGCUUGCCCUGUUGCGUGGAACGGAUGCCCUUCUUGGGCUUUGAGGCCAGCUCUUUGUUCUUGGGGGCCCUCUGGCCUGGCAGGUGGGUGUGGUGAGAUGACCCCCAGAACGUUGCAGUGGAAGAACGGUACUUCGGGUUUGGCUAAAGAGAGGGAGAAAUCACCUCUGUGUCUGAGGUUUUGAGCAAGAGCGACUAGAAGAAUGGUGGUGGUGGUGCGAGAGAUUUGGAACGGGCCUAGGGGAUAGGGGAUGGUCAGGGAAGGGUGUACAGGGAAGUAGAUCAGACAGCAAAGAUAAACAUGGUGUUCUUUUACUGUACUCUCCACUGGGCUGUCCCUGGUUACCAGGGCAACAGAAGCAGUGAUGAAAAUCAUGCCUUUCGUUCAGUGGAAAAAUCUGGCUCCCGCCUCUUCCUUCUCUAAUCGCUGGCGACCCGUUGGGAGGGUGAUGCCUCCGGGGGUCAGGGAGAGACCCCAGCGUAUCCUCAUCGUAGCCCCCCUUUCUCAAAUACUUUUUAUUAUCACCCUUCUUCCUGCAUCCCCUAUCCUCCCCCCCCCCCAGCUCGGUAAUUGGCAGUUGCGUAGGAGUUGGAGUAGCUGGAGGGGGAAGGGCAUGGACGUCAUCGCAGGGCAGGGUGAGCAGAGCGUGGGCAGAGAUGUGGAUGCAGGAAUGACUGGCAUAAGAGGAGGGUUGGGCAUUGAUGAGCUAGCUGGAGCCAAGAGUCCGUUUCUGGGGUGGCGGGAGCUGGGUGGGAAGGGGCAGUGAGUUGACGUCGGGCCCCCCCGAGCCUGGCGGUCUGGGCUCCAGGCAGUGGGAGCCAGCAAUGGCCUGGGUUUCUUGUGUGGUCAUCUCUCGUGAUGAGAACUAGGAUUCGUCCGUUAGCGUUUAUUGUGAACCCUCCCCUCCCCUGUAUUAGAUGAUGUUCUGGAAGCUGGGAAGCCAGAGGUCAGCAGCACUGGGCCUUGACCUUGAAGAGAUUACGGUGGGUGGGAGGAGGAUGAGUAUAUGGGGGAAGAGCUGGCAUUGGUGCAAGCCUGGAAUCUGGGGCCCCUGGCAGGAGUCUGGCAAUAUGCCGCAUUGGAGGUGAUGGUUUAGGGUGGAGCCUGUGGGAUUGGAGAGGAAGAGACAGAUUCGGAGAGCCACUUUGGCUUGGGGGCAGGAUGUGGGGAAGAGAAGGUGCUGAAAUUUUGAGCCUUAGUGAUUGACAGAAAUAGAAACAUUAGGGUUCAGACUUGUCUGGGAGAGUCAUGUUUGAUUUUCUUUUAGAAAUGUUGCACCUGGAUAGAUAUGUUUAAAGUCAGUCAAAUGAAGUUUGCAAUGGAAAUCAUGAGUUUGGGGGAGAGAUUUGGGAGAUACUGGAUUAUGAAGCUUGAAGGUGCAGUACACAGUUAGUGAGAAGGUAUAGAGAGAGAGAGAUCCCAGAGCCUGGGCCGUUGACCUGCAGUUGGGUGAGGCUGGGUGCCUUGUGCUGGUUUAUUAUCCCAGGUCCCGCCCAAACCCUGGUCCAGUUUCUGCCAAUAAACACUCGCAUAUUCUACCAAACCACAUCUCUUUUUGAAGUUCAGAUUUUUGUUUAAGUUUUCUUCUCCCUAGUAACUAUGUCCAGGUACAGCUGGAAGAAAAAUUCUCCCUCUCCCCUCCUUCCUCUCCCUCUCUUCUCCCUCCCCACCUCCUCCCACCCCAAGCUCUCCCCUGGCCCUGUCCUAUGUACCGUUCACUCCCAGCCCCAGGAAGUGCCACGCUCCUUGGCCCCCACCAGCAUGCUGUUUAUAUGCUUCCUUUCUACCCAUACCCUCACUGGCCAGAGAGUCAGAAGACAUUUGUCAGCUGGAAGAUCUUGGAUGUGUCACUUCCUUUUCCAGGCCUUACUGUCUAGUCUAAGGAAUCUAAUUUUUUCCAGCUCCAAAGCCCUUAGAUUUGACGUCUGAAACUUUUUCCACCUUUGUCUAGGUUUGUGAUGCAGACCAGGCUUUUGGAAUAAGUAGGCUACAUUUCUUUAGUGCCUUGUGGGAGAGACCAGCAGGGGUGGUUGGUGGCCUGUUCCCCAGAGUAGUAGGCCCCUGUCUCCAGAGUGGAUGGGAGCCCUCCAGGUGGAUGGUGGCCCUUGUUGCUCUUUUGAGCAUAGAAAUCCUGGAUGAGCAGUUUUUCCCAAAGGCCUGGGAUUGGCAAACUAUGACGCAUGGGCCAGAUGCCCGUUUUUGUAAAUAAAGUUUUAUUGGAACACAGACACGUUCAUGUUUAUGUAUUGUCUAUGGCUGGUUUCAUGCUACAGUGGCAUAGCUGAGUAGUCGUAGCAAAGGCCAUAUGUCCCAUAAGCCUAAAAUAUGUAGUAUCUUGCUCUUUAAGAUAAAAGAAAAGUUUGCCAACCCCUGCUGUAGACUACCAGAGAAGUGCUUAGAUCUCUACUAGGGAUGCUUACUCUGGGUGAUUCAGAUUUCCAGAGUUCUUGAAGAUUCUGCAUAGGGCCUGCCUUUGUGAUCCCACAAGAAGAUGAUCUGGUAGUUGAGACAGGAGAUUGUUGGAGUCAGCUUCAAAGUGGUAGUUCCGUAUCUGGGAAAACCCUUCCGUUUCUAGUGCUUUCCCUGGAGCAUGGAGGCCUGAGUUCCUCAGCAGGGCCGGGUGAUGGCCUCGAUCUGACAAGCCACCUUCUCUCUCAUUCUGAUUUCCCAGCCUGUGCGGGGGAGAUUAGAGUGACCUAAACCCAGUCUCACGUCAGGAAAAAGGGAGGCUCAUCGAUUCUGCCAAGUCCUGCGGCAUGUUGCCCGUGAUACCUCUACUUUGUCACUUCCGACCUCACUGCCCCCCUGAGUGCCAAGGCCCUGGAGGUGCCACCGCAGGCAGAGCCUGCAGCCCAGCCUGGCGUGUCUGCCUGAAGCUGGCACUCAUCCAGCGUGCGGGAGCAAGGCUCUGGGCUCGGAUUUUGUGGGGUCUGUGCCUGUGCCAGCUUGGGGGCUGGAACCAGCAUCCGGCGUUCUUGCAGCCACCCUUUGUGCAAUCCUCCUGUGUCGAGGUGUCCACCUUUUUGACCUGGUCCUCAAGCUGGAGUCUUGGCGAAGCUCCUGGUUAGGAACAGGGUGACAGCAGAGCAGCAACAGCCCGGCAGUUGGGGCACUUCUGCUCAGGGCUGAGAUAGGAAGUGAGACGUGUCAGUGGCAAGAGGAAACCGCGUGCUCCGAGUAGCCUGGGGAACAGGGGUGACUGAGGUUUAUUCCCGUUGCAGCUGGAAGGGAGGAGGCUGGCAGUGGGAGGAGGGAGCAGACGAUCCAGAAUAGCAAAGAAGACAGAAGCCGAGCACACCCAGCGCUGCUUUUAGCCGGCAACGAGAUGGAGUGUCGCUGUGUCACCCAGGCUGGUCUCAGACUCUUGGCUUCACGUGAUCUUCCCACUUCGGACUCCCAAAGCGCUGGAAUUACAGGGUCACCGAGUGCUUGCUGUCCGCCUGCUCCUGGACAGCAAACAGAAAUGCCGCCUUGCCGUGUGGACUGGGCCUGUCAGUUCCGCCCGAGACCGGAUGGCUGCCUGAUUUGUCUAGAACGUCCACUGUAGCUCUAGAAUGUCCGGCCAGAGUUUGGGGUCUGUCCCCCGGACGGCUCGCCCGCCCCAGGAGCACGGCGCCUCCCACUGAGUAGCGGGGCAGACCCCGCAGCGCCGGCCCCUGCGAGGGGGCAGGACAGAGAGGCGGCACGGAGCCUGCGUUCCUGGCCGGUGCCCACUGAACUGGAGUGUGUGGCCGGUACACAGUGCUUGCAUUCCACACCCCGGACAAAGGCGGGUCAAAGUUCAGCUCAUUCCCUUUAAAGAAGAAGAAGAAGAAGAAAAAAAAAAAUUUCCGUCUUUGGCAUUUCAAAGUUUUGACCCAGAUCAGCCAGAGGCCACGGAGAGCUCACGACGUCUGGAGAGUGUGUUUAAUUUCUGAGGCCCGUAGCUGCCGGGAAGCCGGAGAGAGCCAGCGACCUGUUGGGCUUGAGCUGAAGCCCUGCCUUUUUUUUCCAGGUGGCACGGGCCUGGCCUCUCCUCCCCAGGCCCCCAGAGGUGAGUGGAAGGAGCCAGCGCCUUCUCCUCGCUCCAGAGUUAUCUUUGCCCCCUGAAAUCAAACACUGCACGCAGCGCCCUGUAAAACUGCUUCCUGGUAGGUCCGCGCAUGCCUGCUGUGUAAACAUCCUCCCGUGUUUCUGGAACUGAAUUCGUCGCUGCUUCCUGGUCAUCCUGUUCGGGGUUUUUCUGCACUUAGCGACCCGCAGAAUCAGGUUCAUAAAGGGAAGACGUCGAGUCGGGCGGAGGUGCUUAAAAUGAUUAUUUUAACCCUAGUAAAAUUGCGAGAAGGGGAAACAGGGUCGUGGGAAGGAAAAGAUGUAGAUGAAAAGUGAAAUGAAACAAAGCCUCCCCAGACAGAGUGUCGUCAUAGCGCCGUGCAAGUCGCUCUGGGUCCACGCCUCGCCCCUGCGAUGGGGACUUCUCUUGCAGGGCCUCAAGCUCGGUCUGGCUGUGGCUGUAGACCACAGUCGGCCUGUGUCUACACAUAUGCCGUGGCUGUGUGUGUCCCUCCUCUGACCCUGCCUGACUCCUGCUCCGUCUCUCAUGACUUAUUUGCCUCUCCUCUCCACCCACCCGUGACAUCUCCAUCGCCAUGGCAGUGAGCAGCCACGUCAUUCACCGAGUUCACAGGGUGAUGGGCCAACUCUGUGCUGAGUCUACUUCCCUCUCGUUCUCCCUCCUGAAGGAGGAGGCUCCCUGGCAGAACUCAGAGCCCUUUGUUUAUUUGAUCCUGGGCUCUUGGAUAAAUCAGGAAUGUCCUGACAUGAACUUAGGCAUGUUUUUCUUCCAUGGAGAAGGAAACUACGGCAAAUGGGAUUGAAGUAAGCAGGGGACCAUUCCGGGGGACUUGCCUUGGUGCCAUGAAGGCCACAUUCCGUUGGGGUCAUCGGACCAGGAGGUGUCUUCUUUACUGGCAUGCUUCACCCUGGAGCCCAGAAGCCAGCGUCGGGAACAGAGGAACAGACAACCUGUGUGUGGGCGAAGGGGCGGCCCGGCACGGAGCUCCCUGUCCCCACUCUCCCAUGUACCGGUUCCCGGUCUCGUGCUUUCCCAUGGAUGAUGCCCGCACUGACAUUUGUCACCGGGCAGUCCUGCUCUCCCCAAGGACCUCCCAGGAGAGCUUGGGAGAGUGCAGCUUGCCGCGUGAGUGGGUGACAACCUCUUGGCGACUCAGGCUCAGCCGAGGAUGGUGCCAGUGUGCCGAAGACAGCCAUCAUGCUGCCGGGUAGAGUGGCUCGCCUGCGUUUAUUUGGAACAAAAAAAGGCGGCGCCUGGCAGCCCUGCCUUCUGCAGUGUGGCCAAACCACCAGUUUGCAUGGUUCCGUGACCGUAAGUGCUGAUUGGUGUGACACGGUCCCAGUCUUGUCAGGGAAUCGUCCGGCCAGGCCGCUUACUGGAAACCAGGUGCAACAAGGAACGUGGGGUUUAACCCUUUCUUCCCUCCCAGGUAAGUCGGGUGCGGGCUCCUCCCCGUGGCCUUCCCCAGCCUCCCCUUGCCGUGAAGGCCAUUUUCCUUAUUCAGGGGGGCAGUCCUCAGCCGUCUCCAUUCAGAGUCUUGCAAACAAUCGCUCUCUUCUUUCCGUUCUCCUACUUCUGGGUUUUCUGUGAAUGGGCUUAGUAAUCAGCAAAGGGUUGGGGACAGGGUGGCCAGCUGAAGUGGUCAGGCUGGGAGGACGAGUGGGAGACAGCUGGGCAGCCCUGUCGCACGUGGCAGUGGGCAGCGCCCUGUGCCCUCCCUCCCUGUGGCGUGAGAGUCUGGGUUGAAACCCUCGGUGGCCCCUGGGGCCCUGCCUGGGGCUCGGGCAUUCCCUCUCCUGGGUCAUCGCCAGGGAUGCUCUUCCUACUCUAGAAACCUUUAGAUGCCGCUCAGCCCGGGUCUGGGAGUUUAGAGUUUAGCCUGGGCUGAGCAGUGGGCUUUGGGCUUCUUUCCCUACUUGGGAAAGAUCCUUUCCUCUAGGCCCUCAUUGCCUUCACAUUGAAAAGAAAUCCGUGGUCCAGGAAGCCACUGAGAAACAUCUUUACACAGUCGAGAUAUAAAUGCUUUUUUGUGUGUGUGCCUUACUUGUUGCUGGUCACAGUCGCUAUGGUGACUAAAAAUGGUGACGGCCUGCAAGACUGGGAAGGUCUGUGGCAUUAGAGACAUGACUCUCAGUGCUUCCACCUCACCAGCAAGUCUUGCUCCGAACCCUGCAGAUGUCUGCAGUGUUUCUUGGCCAGCAGAGCUGGUUGGGAUUAGCCGACAGCAGAUUCUUCUGGGGUCUAACGAUCCCAGGAGCAAAGCCGGGUUACUUUCUGAGGCACCUGUGGGAUCCUGCGUCCGUCCACGCGACAGUCGCCCCUGGCUCGGGUGCGGGUGUCGUUUCCUCUUUCCCACGCUGCUCCCACGUGGCUGUCCGGGAAUGACUGGCCAAUCCUGCCCCCCCUCGGUAUCUCGUCUUCUCUUCCCAUUUGAGAUGAGUCUCCGAGCUGGCUGUGAGCAGCCCGAGCGAGAUCCUCACCAAGCGAGGGAUCCAGGGCUGCUGGGAAGAGCCCAGUGUCCCUCCAGGGCAGCCACAGUGCAGGGAGCGAUGGCAGGGGGUGUCGGAGCGGAGCACGGGUAAAGGGGAGAGACUGGCUUUGGUGCAGCCAGGGAGACGAAGAGCAGGAACAGGAAGCCAAGUCCCUCAAGAUGUGUGGGCUAGAGUCUGGCCAGCGCCGGCGGCGGGGCGGGAGCCAGACGCAGCUGCCGGCCUUGCUUGGGAGCCCCAGCUCUCUCUCGCACGUGCAGUGGGUCCCCAGGCCCGCCUCUGCGACACCCCCACUCCCACCACAGCCCUGUCCCUGGCUCGACUGGGGAAACCAGGAUGGGCAGUGAGGGGGAGACCGGUCUGGCUCCUGGUCACGCAGUUGCCUCCCCGGCCUCUGAUGCUUUCAGAAUCGGGGUUGGUGCUUCCCCGCUGAUUUUUCUAUUUUUGUCCCUCCUCUAGUUCUUUCCCCCAGCUCACCAGCCGGGCCUCCACUGACACGACAUUGGGGCAUUGUGUGUUGCCAGUCAGGCCAGCCGAACACUUGGCAUCUCUGAGAGGGGCCCGGCGUGUCUGGCGCUUUUCUCUUGACCUCUGAGUCCCUGAGGUCCGGGCGCCAGGAGGCCGCGUGGGGCGCCUCCAUCCGGGACCCAGCAGAGGUUAACAGAGCCCGUGGCGCUGGAGCCCCGGUGGUGUGGCUUGGCCGGGACUCGUGGGGGAGGGGCCCUGCCAGGGCUCCUGAUUGGUCAGCACCUUCUCUAUCCCACUGAAUCCUGGUCUGCACCGGGCUGGGGAUUGUUUAAUGCACAUCUUGGCUCUGUCCCCUGGCUUGCGUGCCCCCGAGGCUGCAGCCACAGCCCUGGAGAGGAUCUGUACCUGGUGCAGGUCACCUUUUCGGGCUUGUUAGCCUCCCUCUGAGAUACGUAAGAGAUACCGCCCUUCUCCGCCAGCCAGCCGUCCGUGGGAGGCCCUCGCGCUGCUUUGCUUUUCUGGGACUUGGAGUGGCUGUGAGGGAAGCAUAGGCUCAGUCUGGUUUCUCGCCGGCUCCUUCUCACAGGAGCUGCUCACGGGCUGAUAAUGCCAGGGCGUACUUCCCGGGCCCCAGGGCCUGCGCAGAGCCUCACGCCCUUGGCAUGGAGCCUGUGCGGGGUGGAGCAGGGGGGCGGGAAUGGGGCGAGCCCCCUUGGGGAGGUGGGGUGCAUGGUUGGAGCACAGCAGCAAGGCCAGGAGGGUGCGGGAGGUUGAGUGCGGUGCCCAGCCACGGCUGCCCGCUGUGGCCAGGAGGGACUCGCGUGUCCCCCAUGAAGAUUCGCGUCUGAGCGCCUGCCAAGAAGGCAGCGCGUGGUGCCCCGAUCAGAACCUGUAGUCAGCAUGCAUGCGUGAGAUGGGCGCCGGAGCUCUCGGCCCCUGCGUUCCGUGCAGAGGAAGGGAAAGCGACCUUUGCUAGGGGCCCUCUGUGGCUUCCCUGGGUUCAUCCUCAGAACAGCCAUGUGACGCAGGGGUCAUCCCCUUUUACCGUUAAAGACACUGAUCUCGAAGUGACUUAACCAAGGUUUACGCACUUGGUAAGCUGGGUUGUCGAGGUUUGCGUCCAAGCGCUUCUGAUCCCAAAGCCUGUGCUGUUUCUUCCCUCUCUUGGCCUGAAGUCAGACCUCUUGUGGGCUAAGAUCCUCAGAGGCCCCACGUGAACCGGAGGGAAAGGCAGACGCCCAGGGGAACUCCAGUCCCCGGGGACGGCCGUGCUGCAUUUCUCUGGGAGGUGGAUGCCCCUGGUGCCCGUGGACAGGCAGGUUGAGCUCUCUUCCGAAGAGUCAGGAUCGAUGCCCACAGGAAGCCCCUCCUUUGUCCUGAUAACAAGGAGAAUCCACCCGGGGUCCCCGCAGCUUACGGGAGCCGGCAGUGAGUGGGAGCCCGAGCUGGAGUGGACGUGGCGCCUUUGGUGUGCGGCAGACGGCUUUCCCCACCUGCCGUGGCCGCCCUGGCCUUCUGCCUCCCGCCCCUGGGCGCUAGCUGACUCUUCUUCCUCGGCCUGGUCACCCCGCUCCCCACCUGUCCACUCAGCACAGGGGAACAUUGGGGUUCGGUCUUUGCUGUGUCCCUGGCCAGACACGUGCCUGGAGGAGGCAUAUUCUGAGCUCAGCUUCUCCUGCCAGGGCGCAUGGUUCUGAGAGCCGGCGGGAAGGGCAGUGGGGAAGGGACGGGCACCGGGUAGGGAGACGCCACCUGUGUGGCUGCAUGGUUGAGCUGUGUGUCUGGAGAGGGUGAGACAGGUUGGCGGUGCUGGGGACGGGGGCGGGCAUGUUUUCCGUGCACACAUCUACAGGGCUCGGGACUUGUUUACUUGGUAGGAAGGCGGCUGGCCCGGGCUGAGUCAGGCCACGUGAUUCUGGCCUCCUUGGCCGGUCACCGAUGCCUGUCCCACCCAGCCGUGGACACUGCCAUCUGCUGCCAGGGGUCUGCACUUGCACAGGAUGAGGGAGUGUGGCCGGGGCACUCUGGGAGGAGAUGGGUCAGGGAAGGUGGGGUUUAUGCUGCUCAGCGUCGAGGGGUCGGCGGGCCUGGAUUCCAGUCCUGGCUCUGUUGGCAAAAUCUCACCCACUCAGUUCACCCCUUUGGGCCCCAGUUUCAUAAUCUGUGAAAUAAGGAGAUUGAAUGAGAAUCUCUUUGGAGGUUCCAGCUCUAGCAUAGGGUCUCCCUGCUGCUAUUCGUGGAGGUAUUUCUUAGCCAGAAUCUCGGAACAAGGAAAGCUAGACCUGAGCUACCACAAGAGGAAGUGAGGGAUCUUGAAGACCUGUCGGCGUGCAUUAGGGUGGGUGGGUGGAUAGGUGGGCAGAGACAGGUGUUGAAGGACCUCCCAGAGGGAAGAGGGGGCAGGGCUGGAGAUAGUGUGCAGGCGGUUGAUGGGCAAAGCUCCAGUGUUGGCUCUGCCACGUGGCCACAGGCUCCCUGCAGGAGGCUUGUCGGAGAUGGGGUGCGUGCGAGCUGCUGGGGGUGCUUGCUGUGCUGCAGGGGCUGACCCGAGAGACCCUGCUCCAGGAAAGAUGCUCCGUCCUGUCUGGCCCCAAAUCCUGGGGAGAUGACAGGGCAGGGUGGGUUUGGGGAGGGCAUCUGUGCCGCGGUCGCGGUCUGUGCCCCUUGCUCUCGGGAAGUUGUCCUUUAGAUCCGGCCUUCUUUUUCCAUGUGUUAUUUGGAGGCCUUCUAUUAAAAAAUAAAAUUAAUUAAACUUUGAAAAGAGAUGUCAACAAAAGAAAGGCAAAAGCCUAAAAUAUGUCAGAGCCCCCUAGUUUUAUAGCAGCUUUUUGGUCUUUGGUCACUCUUAAAAAGAUAGCCAAAACAAAACGCAUCCAGGAACGCACGCCCCAGAUGCCAGGCCCAGCCAGGUUGGGGCCAGGUGCGGCCGGCCGGGACUCUGGCCUCGCUUCCCACAGCAGGCUCAGCCCCACACGGCCCCCGCUUCUCCAAGGCGACGUGUGUAGGAGCCCCCGGGGGCCGAGGGGGCACGUCGUGCAGUCUGCUUCACAGAAGGCAGGGUUUUAAAAAUAACUGCGCUUCUCCAAGGUGCUAUCUGCCUGCUGCUUUGCGGGAUGUUUACCUGGGAUUCCUAAUAACUGUGAGCUCACCCCCACGCCCCCACCCCUGCCGGUGCGGUGUAGUGAGCAGGGCUUUGGGCCAGGACUCAGGCGGGGAGAGGGAUUGAUGAGUAACCCUCACUCACACCACACUCAGUUGCUCUGACACUCGCUGGCUCCUUCGGUCCUCACACAGCCCUGUGAGGGUAGGUGGCAUUACCCUUGUCGUUGAUGAAAUUAGACAGAGUCCUGCCAAGAUCUGAUUGCUUGUGCCUGCUGGAUUGGGGUCACCCACCCAGGCCCCCACCUUCAGCUGUCAAUUCCCUGGGUUCUGAUCUGCGGGGCAGGGGUAGGAGUGGGCUCUUGGCCAGUUUACUUGGUCUCCGAGGGCCCUACAGUGGAAGGAGAAGGAGACUUCAGAAUGCCUGGGUUCUCCAACUCUCUGAUUCUUUAGACUCGGGGCUCUUGUGGGAGCUGGCUUGCACUUCUUGGCUGGGAAGCCAGCCACUCACCAUGUGUUCCUGGAGAGGUUUCCUACAUUUAUUUGGAAGCUUCUGGAAUCAUGUGGUGCAUCUGCACGGCACUCCAUGCGUGUGCACGUCGCCGCGCUUCUGCCGAAUGUCGCCCGCUCAGAGAUGAGGCCCCAUUGUGCCAUCUCUGAGAUUUUUUCCAGCAGAUUUAUAAGGGAAGCCCGAGCGUUGCCCGGCACGCACGCUGUGUGUAAGUUACCUGUGUGCUGGCGGGUGGACAGCACCUGCUGGAGGCUCUGGCUCACGCACAGUGAAAGUAAGAUAUUCAUACCAGAAGCGCCGACGUCGUCAGCCCUGCAGGCUGGCUUCGUGGUUGGCUUGGAAGAGGGGCCUUUCCCGUGGAGAGUGAGGGAGGUAAGGGGUCAGUGUUCCUUAAAUGCUGACCAUAAGCCCCAGUCUUUAUAAGGGGCGCUGAGGCAGGGGAUUGGACUUCUUGGCCACUUGGCCUUCUGAGUUAUCUGUGUUUGAAUAGCCCCAGAACUUGCAUGAAGGAGGAAAAAAAAUGUUUGCUCACAGCAAAUUUAGCCGCGAUCGUUUAGGCUGCUUCUAGGGGCGUUCAUUUAGGAACGAUGGAGGUUGGUUGGGGCAGUGCGCGUAUGUGGCUCUGGAUGUUUGUCCAUUUAUGUUUCCUGAACGCAUCCUUGGAAUACAGAGAAACUCUGUGAUGGGGCAUCCAAAGGGGAAUCGUUUUGGUGAAUGAAGGCUUCUGAUAGCCCCGUGUGUGCAGAUCUGUCACGUUGGACCUGGCUCUUUGUGUUCACCUGAAGGAAGGAGAGGGGAAUGGGCAGAACCUGCAGCAAGGAGGGUGAUUUAGGCGAGAACUGCGUGUCGCCUUUGCUGGGGGUUUGUGAGGAAAGGUGAUCCUUAUCCUCUAUGGGGUCUUCCCAGUCCGGAGUCUGUGGGACUCUGAGGCCGUCCCUGCAACAGCACGAGGGUCGGGAACCGGAGUCUUAGAGCAAGCUCCUCUGCUCGUCCAUCUCUGCAGCCUGGGGGUUGCGCCAGUGUGGGCGCCGAACCUAGAACUCUGACCUUGUUUCCCUUUGCAGACGGGACUUGCAGCACUGGCCCUAAAGUCACUGGUAUUAUUUGCAUGUUAACGAAAGGAGAAAGGCAUGCUGCCCCUCAUCGAUUCCAGGAGAGGUCCCUGAGCUGCUCCAGUGGCAUCUGCAACAUCACCACCACCCCAGCACUAGCGACAUUGCAGGGGUGUGUGUGUAGCCAGGGGGAAGGCAGGGUCAGGCACAGUGUGCCGGGAAGAAGGGGGGAGUGAAGGGCAUCUCGGGGCAGCCCCGCAGCUAGGGGAGCCACAGGCAUUGCCGGCCAUGCUGAAGGCCAGGUAGGUGCUCACAUGGGCUUACUAUUUAGAGGUAACCCAAAGUCUGAAAUAAAUCAGGUGAUGUCUGACUGAGAGUUAAGUAUGGAGAAUCAUGCAUCCUUUGGUGCUAUCAGCACCUGCAGGUUGUGCCAAAAGGCCUUGCAGGCAGGGACCUGUUUAGCGGGCCCUGUCUGUAAGAUCAUGCUUAUAUUAUGGUGACUUUUUGUCUCUUUUCUUUCCUAUUUUCCACUCUUUCUUGUUCCUUAGGUGUAUGUGCAUGUUCAUCCAUGCAGUUGUGUUACUUCCUCGGGGUACAGUUCUUCCAGUGUCACCGGCACCAGUGGAUGUGUGAUUCUGAUUUGAAGUGUAAACAAACCACUGGCUCAGGCUAGGGACAAGCUACCUUUGAGACAAGGGCUCUGGCAGCUGCCUGCAGACGCCCCUUUGCCCCGUAGUCCUGGACUGCUUCGGCCAGACACCUGAGAUGACAAUCAAAGGUUGUCUUUGCUGGGAUCACCUCAACCCUGUGUCAUGCAUCCUGUUUGGGGUUGGGGGGGGCUGCUGAGGCAUGCAUUCCCCAGCUUUAUUAGCUGGUACUUCUUUUCAGCUCGAACCCUGAGUAGUGGCCUUGGAGGUCUGAAACCGCAUGUCACCCUGCUAGGCAGGAAGGGGCCAGAGAGGAUAGGCACAGAUAGGAAGGGAACACAGGCUCCUGGAUUCUCUCUAAGACAGGUGAACUUUAUGUUCAGAAAGGAGCUCAUUUAAUCUUUUAGCCCUAAUAGAAGUUAUUUGUAUUUUCUCUCCUUCUCUUCUUUUCCCUCCUCUCUCUCUCUCUCUCUCCCCCUCCCGCUCCCCCCUCCCUAGCCUCCAAAGAAUUUAAUCUGCUGGACAACAAACAAUACUGUUAUAAAACUUUGAAAACAAGAGGGUGCGGCCUCCCUGACAAGGAGAAGGGCAUGCCGGGUAACGGCCCGGGGGAGCGUGCCAGGCCUGAGAUGGAGCCGGGCGAGAGCCCAGUUGGCUGCGUACCUGGGUGCCGGCCCCUGCCCGGCCCACUCGCUGCGCCAUCCCCGGUCCAGAGGGGAAGGAACCGAAACAAAAGGGGGAGGCAGAGCCGCGCUUGCAAAAGGGAAGUUGUAUGUGCUCCCCUCUCUGAUCUGAUGGGAAUGCACUAGACUGUGAAACUUCCUCCUCCACCUCCUCUCCCUGUCCCUCCUCCCUCCUCCCCCUGCCUCCUCCUGCGACUCACUGUUCUUGAGGCUGGCAGACAGAGGUCCUGAUAAGAGAACCCCAGGCUGGAAUGGCAGUGUAGGUGCAGCCACCAGCUGGGCCGGCCAGAGGGGAAGCAGGAGAGAAAGCGGGCUCGCAGUUGGCUUUGGGCUCGGACCUGCCCUCUGUCUGGCCCAGCCUCCCUCCCCCCCGGGGAGGGAAGUGGCACCAGUGACGUCACAGGGUGUGCCCCAGUCCAUGUGCUCUGCCAGGUGCGUGCCCAGGUACAAGGUGGAACCGCCACUCAGAGGCUAGUGGCUACGCCUGGUGUCCCCUUGGUCCUCGCUCCGCUGCACGGAGGAUGUGGCGCUGGUGGAAAGGCUCAGUCCUUGGGGAUGCUCUGCUCUCCAGGGAGGAGCAGAGGCUGCUGCCCAGCCCGGGGCGUGCCCCUGCAGGAGCUCCUGGGGACAGGAAGGGGCUCUUCCCAGCUGGCACGCGGUCCCGAGUGCGCCCGGUAGGAAACUUGUCUGCUAGUUACUUCUUGGUGGCUGAAGGAGGGGGUGACCCAGCUCUGCCUGGGAGAGGUGGGAAGCCGGGCUCCCGGGGGCGCCUCUCCCCCAGCGUCCAGAGUCAGCUCCCACCCGAGGCCCAAGUUUCACUUCCGAGUCGUCUUCACUGGGUCAAGUGGAUGAUCUGGGGUUGACCAGGGAGCAGCACUGAGGGUUUUCCUUCGAACGCGCGUUGGUUUGGACCCACGAGCUGCGUGCUGGGCAUUGUGUUUGUGUAACAGACCGCAGGCGUGCUCGGUUUUCCUCCUGUGGAAAGCGCUAGCUUCCUUGAAAGCAGUUCAGGGCCGUGCCCAUCCUCCUCCGCAGGAGCUGAGCCCUUCUUCGGGGAAGCACGGAGACCUCUGAGCUCGGGCCUUCACUCUGUCCCUCCCCUUCCCUCUGCCCUCUGCUGUCGCCUGCUGCCCCCUCCCCAUCCCAGGGGCAAGGGUUGCCCUGGUGCAUCCUCCCAUCGGGCUGGCGGUGCCGACCCAGGGCCCCUGUGCCCAGGCCUGAGUCUGGGAGAGUUUGAGCCCCGCUCAGCAGUGCCGGGGAAGGGACAGACAGCCUCACUUUUAGGAGUGCAGCUGCCCAGGAACCUCCAUACCCGACCCAGGAGGAACCAGAAGAGCCGAUGCCAGACCCGUGUGGGCUUGGGUCUGGAGGAUAUUAUUCCCACUGUGGGAUUCAGGGCGUGGGAAGUGCAGUGUUCCCGAAUGCUGAGCCCUCCUUUGGGGCCAGGCUGCCAGGAAGGAAGAGCCUGGCACAGGUUUCUGGGGACUCUGAGACAGCUGGCUCCGUGCUCCCAGCCACCCUUUGCCCCUCGUGCAUACACCUUUCAUUUUAUCACCCUUUUUCCCCUCUGAUUCAUUAACCACAGCCCCCCUCCCACCCCCAGACAGCUAAAGACAAAAUGUCCAGGACACUGGGAGAGUGACAGGAAGCUGGGCCGGCCUCUCAGUGCAUACAUACGAUGGUCUGGGACUGUCUUGAGGGCAGGAUGGUCCCCUUUGGGUCCCCUUCCUCAGGCCCCUCUAUCACCAAGUUGAUCUCUUCCUCACUGCCAGGCACCCCGACACCAGCAUUCCCAGAGGCAAGAGGACACCAGCAUUCCCAGAGGCAAGAGGACGGACCAUCUGGGCCUGGCUUCCGGCACCCCUC